AGUUCUGUGGUGUAAAUGGUUCGCACUCUGGACUCCAAAUCCAGCAAUCAAAGUUCGAGUCUUGGUAGAACCC
rnacentral:tRNA from 1 species